rnacentral:rRNA from 1 species
GACGAACGCUGGCGGCGUGCCUAAUACAUGCAAGUCGAACGAGAGCGACCGGUGCCUGCACUGGUCAAUCUAGUGGCGAACGGGUGAGUAACACGUGGGUAACCUGCCCAUCAGAGGGGGAUAACAUUCGGAAACGGAUGCUAAAACCGCAUAGGUCCUUUAACCGCAUGGUUGAAGGAGGAAAAGAGGCGCAAGCUUCUGCUGAUGGAUGGACCCGCGGUGCAUUAGCUAGUUGGUGAGGUAACGGCUCACCAAGGCCGUGAUGCAUAGCCGACCUGAGAGGGUGAUCGGCCACAUUGGGACUGAGACACGGCCCAAACUCCUACGGGAGGCAGCAGUAGGGAAUCUUCCGCAAUGGACGCAAGUCUGACGGAGCAACGCCGCGUGAGUGAAGAAGGUUUUCGGAUCGUAAAACUCUGUUGUUAGAGAAGAACAAGUGCUAGAGUAACUGUUAGCGCCUUGACGGUAUCUAACCAGAAAGCCACGGCUAACUACGUGCCAGCAGCCGCGGUAAUACGUAGGUGGCAAGCGUUGUCCGGAUUUAUUGGGCGUAAAGCGAGCGCAGGCGGUUCCUUAAGUCUGAUGUGAAAGCCCCCGGCUCAACCGGGGAGGGUCAUUGGAAACUGGGGAACUUGAGUGCAGAAGAGGAGAGUGGAAUUCCAUGUGUAGCGGUGAAAUGCGUAGAUAUAUGGAGGAACACCAGUGGCGAAGGCGACUCUCUGGUCUGUAACUGACGCUGAGGCUCGAAAGCGUGGGUAGCAAACAGG